rnacentral:rRNA from 1 species
UACGUAGGGGGCUAGCGUUGUCCGGAAUCAUUGGGCGUAAAGCGCGUGUAGGCGGUCCGGUAAGUCCGCUGUGAAAGUCGGGGGCUCAACCCUCGAAUGCCGGUGGAUACUGUCGGGCUAGAGUGCGGAAGAGGCGAGUGGAAUUCCUGGUGUAGCGGUGAAAUGCGCAGAUAUCGGGAGGAACACCAAUGGCGAAGGCAGCUCGCUGGGACGGUACUGACGCUGAGGCGCGAAAGCCUGGGGAGCAAACAGG